rnacentral:rRNA from 1 species
ACAGAGGGUGCUAGCGUUGUUCGGAAUCAUUGGGCGUAAAGGGCGUGUAGGCGGUUUGUUAAGUCAUGUGUGAAAGCCCCCGGCUCAACCGGGGAACGACGCAUGAAACUGGCAAGCUAGAGUACCGAAGAGGGGGGUGGAAUUCCCGGUGUAGCGGUGAAAUGCGUAGAGAUCCGGAGGAACACCGACGGCGUAGGCAGCGUCCUGGCCGCGACCUGACACUGAGGCACGAAAGCUGGGGGAGCGAACAGGA